ACAUAAAUCACCUGGGAAUCUUAUUAAAAUGCUGAUUCUGAUUUAGUGAGACUAGGGAAGGAUUUGAGAUCCUGCAUUUCUAACAAGCUCCCAGGGGAUGCUGAU
rnacentral:pre_miRNA from 3 species